CCUACGGGUGGCAGCAGUGGGGAAUAUUGGACAAUGGGCGAAAGCCUGAUCCAGCCAUGCCGCGUGUGUGAAGAAGGCCUUCGGGUUGUAAAGCACUUUCAGUGGGGAAGAAAGCCUUGGGGCUAAUACCCUCGAGGAAGGACAUCACCCACAGAAGAAGCACCGGCUAACUCCGUGCCAGCAGCCGCGGUAAUACGGAGGGUGCGAGCGUUAAUCGGAAUUACUGGGCGUAAAGCGCGCGUAGGCGGUCUGAUAAGCCGGUUGUGAAAGCCCCGGGCUCAACCUGGGAACGGCAUCCGGAACUGUCAGGCUAGAGUGCAGGAGAGGAGGGUAGAAUUCCCGGUGUAGCGGUGAAAUGCGUAGAGAUCGGGAGGAAUACCAGUGGCGAAGGCGGUCUUCUGGACUGACACUGACGCUGAGGUGCGAAAGCGUGGGUAGCAAACAGGAUUAGAUACCCCAGUAGUC
rnacentral:rRNA from 1 species